CGGGUUGUAAAGCACUUUCAGUAGGGAGGAAGGUAGUGUAGUUAACACCUGCAUUAUUUGACGUUACCUACAGAAGAAGCACCGGCUAACUCCGUCGCCAGCAGCCGACGGUAAUACGGGAGGGUGCGAGCGUUAAUACGGAAUUACGUGGGACGUAAAGCGCAUGCAGGCGGCCUGUUAAGUCAGAUGUAGAAACGGCCCGGGGACUUAACCGUACGGUAAUUGCUAUUUAGUAAACGUGGCGAGGCUAGAGUCUUGUAGAGGGGGGUAGGAAUUUCAGGUGUAGCGGUGAAAUGCGUAGAGAUCUGAAGGAAUACCAGUGGCGAAGGCGGCCCCCUGGACAAAGACUGACGCUCAGAUGCGAAAGCGUGGGGAGCAAACAGGAUUAGAUACCCUGGUAG
rnacentral:rRNA from 1 species